AUGGCAGCCGCCAGCGACAAACGCAAGGAUGUAGCCGAACUCGAUCACGGACUCGAGCACAACGGCGACAUACGCCUCCUCCCAACGUCAACCGCACGCUCGUACGCGUGCCCGCUGUACCGACGCACCCGACGCAUCCAGUGCGCACCCAUAACACGCACCGGUCGCGCCCGUCUCGCCGCCACGGCUUAUUGCCAUGCACCGCUGCGCAGCACCUCCAUGGCGCUGUGUGCAGCACCUCCAUGGCGCUGUGUGUCGUUGAAGCCGCCGCCACGCAAGUCCUCCGCGGCCUCCUCACCAUGCCGGCGCAGCCACCGCGGCCUCCUCAUCGCGCCGCGCACCUUAAUAGACCGACACACGGCCCGGAGCAUCGCGCAGCCGCCGGCGAACUCCGCCACCGCCGGCACGCCUCCGGCAAGAAGAACGACGCCCAAGAUGAACCAGCUCAUGAUACCAAUUGUUGGUGUCUACCUACUC
rnacentral:rRNA from 1 species